UCAGUGGUUUGUUGUGUGCCAGGCACAGCGGUUUCUUGAAAGCAGAAUGAUAACGCUAAAUUCCAGCAAAUUAAAUUAUUUUCAUUGAACUCUUUGGGAGGAAAUCCAUGUCCAAUCCUACUGAAAGGAAUUGAAAGCAGGACCCCCAACUCUGAUAGUAAGGAUGUGCAGGAUUCAGCACACGUCUGCAUUAAAUCCAUCCACACUGUCCCGCAAGCUGCUAUAGCACAGACCUUCAUCCUGACUGGAUCAUCACAGGGGAGAUGGAUGAAGUCAGAUUUGCUUCAAGCAGAAGGCAACAACGUGCUGAAUAUGCUGAGCCAUUCUGUUUUGGGGUUUCACAACAUAAGAAGCGAGUCAAAGCCGGUGAUUACACGACCGAUUUAACCGCCAUGAUGGAUUCUCCCUGAGGUAAUAACGCAUCUGCCUAUGACGUGAAAGUAAAAAACCUUCAACAGCUACAGCGUAAUGAUACCCAACCCAUACCGGGGAAAUCAGAGUGCGGGCCCUAAACGGUUGAGCAAUUCAAUAGAAGCGUUUUCAUAUUUAUUUGCAGUGCUGCAUUUCAACCUGACAUCUCCUCCACAACGGCUUUACUGAAUCUGAUUGCUACAACCAGAAAGGUCUGGAUUCUUUUGUCGCAGAAUUGUUGACGCCGCUCUCUCUCCUUUCACAACUGACAGUUGACAGUGAUUGUACUAUUAGCUCCUGUUUCUGUGGAGAACAGUGCACUUGAAAGACAUUGGCAAUUACAUUUAACCCCUCCUUUCUUCCUCUCUCCCUCUCUUUCCCCCCAAGCCAAUUACAUAGGAAGGGAAUGGAUAAGCUAUGUUGAAUGGUAAGCCAUGUUGUCCCCUGCCUCAGUUUCGUUAGCUUCUGUAGGUUGUGUCGAAAAUGCUGGUGUUGGCACAUGCAGCCAUUGAUUUUGAUUUGGGGCCCUCUGUCUCCCACCUGAGUACAUCUGAGGGAGAGACUACAGCAAUUAGGGCCAGCAGCAUACUUGACCAUUUGAUAGAGGCUCAGCGUCCAUCUCCAGCUCUCUAGCUGCAUCCCCAGAAACUGUUUUGAUGAGGGCCCUAAAUAAGUGUUUGAACAUGAAAAGGCCUGACUCGGCAUGCUCUGCAGUGGCACACACCCAAAAUAAAAGAGACCUUCAGCAGUUUGCCUCUGAUUUCCCUAAAUCAUUACCCAGCCUCUAAACCACAGUGGAAGGUGAACCUUUAUGGAUGUGUGACAUUAAAGGUGUAAAAUAUAGGAUGUGAGGAUAUGCCAAUCCAUUGAUGUGGCAUCAUCAAAAAAGUGAUGUCAGCGCACUCCAAAAAAGUUCUGAUCUGGCAAACAAAACGUAUGUGGCCAAGUUCACCCCAUAGAUUUACUGUAAUUGUCACAUGAAACUCAACAGUAUUGUUGAGGGAGCUGACACUGAACAGACAGAGGGCCACUGCUUUGUCCACCUGAUCCUCCUCCUCUCAACUCUGUGGUUGAGCAGGAAACGCUCAGCACUUAUCAUUGCUGAUCCACAGAUGGAAGUGGGCAUGUUUGAAAACCUUGCAGCCCUAUGGGUCACUACUGGGGAAAUAUGGAGGAACAUAGAGGAACAGUAGUAGGCCCUGUUUCUGGACUGAAAACAGGAGGCCUUGCCUUCUGCUCAAUGGCAUUUGCAAUAGCCAAAUGGCAUCCAUUGAGAAUGGGGAGCAAUUAUCAUGAAAAGAACAGCAUGGAUUUCUUAUUGAUACAGCAUGGAUUUCUUAUUGAAAGUUAAUUCUAAAUAAAAAAUAAAAACAUGUCCAAAUUUUCAUUAAAACAACGUCCAACUUUCCUCAUCCAA